GAUGAACGCUGACAGAAUGCUUAACACAUGCAAGUCUUUGGCGAAGCUGUGCUUGCACAGCCUAGCCAAGGCGGACGGGUGAGUAACGCGUAAGGAACUUGCCCUGCAGUCAGGGAUAACAGACGGAAACGACUGAUAAGACCUGGUAAAGUCAGGCGGACUCAUGUCCAGCCUGAUGAAAAAAGAUGCUGCAGGAGAGCCUUGCGUCCUAUUAGCUUGUUGGUGGGGUAACGGCCCACCAAGGCGAUGAUAGGUAGCCGGCCUGAGAGGGUGGACGGCCACAAGGGGACUGAGAUACGGCCCUUACUCCUACGGGAGGCAGCAGUGGGGAAUAUUGGACAAUGGGGGCAACCCUGAUCCAGCAAUUCUGUGUGCACGAUGAAGGUUUUCGGAUUGUAAAGUGCUUUCAGCAGGGAAGAAAAAAUGACGGUACCUGCAGAAGAAGCGACGGCUAAAUACGUG
rnacentral:rRNA from 1 species